rnacentral:rRNA from 1 species
UUGGAGGGCAAGUCUGGUGCCAGCAGCCGCGGUAAUUCCAGCUCCAAUAGCGUAUAUUAAAGUUGUUGCAGUUAAAAAGCUCGUAGUUGAAUUUCGAGAUCAAUUUGUCGGUCGUGCCUCGGUACGUACUGGCAUUAUUGAUUUCUCCCUUCUGAAGAACCGCGAUGUCAUUAAUUUGGUGUCGUGGGGAAUCAGGACUGUUACUUUGAAAAAAUUAGAGUGUUUAAAGCAGGCGCACGCUUGAAUACAUUAGCAUGGAAUAAUGAAAUAGGACGUUUGAUUCUAUUUUGUUGGUUUCUAGGAUUGACGUAAUGAUUAAUAGGGAUAGUUGGGGGCAUUAGUAUUCAAUUGUCAGAGGUGAAAUUCUUGGAUUUAUUGAAGACUAACUACUGCGAAAGCAUUUGCCAAGGAUGUUUUCAUUAAUCAAGAACGAAAGUUAGGGGAUCGAAGACGAUCAGAUACCGUCGUAGUCUUAACCAUAAACUAUGCCGACUAGGGAUCGGAUGAUGUUAAUUUUUUAAUGACUCAUUCGGCGCCUUACGGGAAAC